GUUUAUUAGAGUAACACAGAGUACGGAGGAUCAACAAGGUCAACAAGAUAUCGAGGUACGUAUAAAUUUACAACCACAAAUAAGAAAGUCUGGUGGACGUGAGAAAGCAAGUAUCAAGUAUGCAACUUUCGAAGAAGACGAGAGUGUGAAAAAGCUAGACAUAUUUAAAGUCACGGAUGUGUUAAAUAAAGGAUCAAACGCUUCAAAGGUCAUCAAGUUUGAG
rnacentral:lncRNA from 1 species